rnacentral:lncRNA from 1 species
GCGCGACUUACCUGGGUGAUCAUACUACCAAACUAGCGAUGCAUAAGUUCGAAGUGACUCUUCCAAUGUGGUGGGGCGUGUGUGUGGCCUCAAAAUGUGUAUUAGUCAAAUACCGGCUGUGCCCGAUGGCGAGGCUACUCGUAAACAGCACCCAUUGCUGGUUUCUUGGACGUGUAGGACUGCUUGCCAGGAAGCUACCUGUGCACUCGGUAAGAUGUCUGGGGUGUGUUCCUUACAUGGAUGGCAAAUGAAGCAGCCGCACCAAACCGGCCCGCUGAUAAUCAAUCCGGCAGCCAGAAUAAUGCCACCGAAACCUACAAUCGGAUCACGUGAUGCCUCUGCUCCAAACCAACAGCGUUCGUUGCUCUUCAGGGUAAACUAGGAGUCCUUGUGAUCGCCGACAAGGCCAUCUGUGACGUGGCCACUAGUUCCCUCUCUUCCCUGAUCUCCUAGGACCCUCCUCCUUUCUCACUCCCCUUUGCCUACGGUGACCUCCUUCCUGCUCCCAAAGUGAGGGCUUUGGCACCUUCUGUUCUUUCAGCCUGGAGCAUUCUUUCCCCAGAUGUCUGCAUGGCUACCUCCGUCAUCUCUUUCAUGACUUCGAAUAAAUGUCACCUUUCAAUAUGGCUCGCUCCUACACUUAUUAUUUCAAGUGUCACCACCUCACCCCCUUCACUCACUCACACACACACACACACACACACACACACACACACACUUCCCAUUUACCCGGUCUUCUUCUGUUCUGUCUUGAAUGCACGUUGUUCUGUCAACACGUUAUGUAAUUUAUUUCCUUAUUAUAAUUGUUUGCUUGUCUCUGCCCACUAGAAGGCAAGCUCCUCAAAGCCAGGGUUUUUGUUGUUGUCUAGUAUGUGUGCUCGGUUGUUCCCUAAUUUAUCCCAAAGGUGACUGGCACGUAGUAGGUGCUCACUGAAUGUUUGUUGAAUGAAUAAAGAUCUGUUACCAACAUCCUCCAUCUUUUCUCUGGUUUUUCUUUGGAUUCGUUGAAGAAUGAGAGGGAGACGUCCAUGUCCCCCACACAAUUAUAUUUCUCUCAAUUUCCCCUUAGGGUUGUACCGUCAUCGAAGAAAUCCCUAGACAAAGUAAAACGUUUCCAACACCUAUAACACACAGAGGGUGUUAAGCCUAAGGGACAAGAACAGACAGUAAAUAGCACACCACACAGCAAGACAGACCCACAAAGAAAACACACUGAGACACCCAUAAAUACGUGAACAGUCCUCACAAACCAUGUGGUGGUGGUGGUGGUGGUGGUGAGGGUCAGGAAAGAAAUUUCUUUUGCUUAACUGUGCUCACACAGAGGAUGUGGCAGAUAACAUCUCCAGGAAGAUCUACGUCGUAGCUGGUGUUAGGACAACGGUGAAGAGGAAGUUCCCUGGCCACACUCUAACCUCCCUCGGAUAACUCCUGGGAGAGGCUCACCUCAGGGAAAAGCAUGGUUGCUCCUUCUGUGCAGUUAGUCAGGUUCCAUCUCAGGGCUACUGUGACUGCUGCCGGGGAUCACCUUUCCCUCUUUCCAUUUUGGCAGCUGGAAAACUUAGAUCCACGCCUGUGGCCAACUGGCAGGGAAGGGAUAGAACCCUGUGGCAUGAGCCUUGCGCCCAAAUCCGUCGUCUGAUUAGACUUCCUCACUUUAAUUUGGCCUUGAUUUCCUCACUCGAUGUUUUCCUCAAAACUCUGAUUUUCUUUUGUAUUUGGUAAGCUGUGUGAUUCCUCGGCUCCAAGGCCUCUCAUGGCUUGUGAGCUCAGUCAGAGUAAAAGGCCAGUUAUGGCCUGUGCAAACUCUACUGGAUUGACUUCCCGGUGAAGUCUCCGGCUUCCUCUCCUACGCCAUCCCCGUUCUCACUCCCCUUCACUCACUCUGCCCUAGUCAAACUGGGAAUCGGCUCACCCCUUUAAUCAAAUCUACUGUUUCUGGGGUGCCUCAGCCGCGUGCUACAGGACCACAGCCAGAGAUUUUUUUAACCCAGCUUGUGACGGAGAAAUAGGACGGCUCUCUCAGUCAGCUUACCCCUCGUGCCUGGCAACAUUUGAAUACAGCAUAUCUGUCAAUCAUAUGCACAGAUACUAUGUAUACUGCUACACUUUCUACCAGUAGCAUCGCUGGUGUACCUGUCUCACCGACACCGACGACGCUAGACUCUUGUUCUAGGGCUCCCCCUCUGAGAAGAAAUCCAAUCACCAGCCACCGCUGACACUGUGACAUUGGCGAUGGGCCAAUGCUGACAGGGCUGCCUUCCAUCCUAGUGCAUCCUUAUUGCCUGCCAGCACAAGCAGCUGUGAGCCUAUUUACUGGGGCCUUUCUAGAAAACAACAGUCAUCAUCCUUGAGGCCGUCUCUCUCUGGUUUUCCCUACCCAGGUGAAUCCACGGAACUUCCAAGGCUCCCUCCUCCACACCGUCCAGUCUGACUGUCCCCACCCUACCUGCAUUAUCUCCCACAGCCUGCACUGCUAACCCAGGAUGGGCAAGUGGAGGAUGAAAUACAGGAGAGAAGAAACAAAGUUGGCUUACACUUUUAGGAAUUUUCCCCUAAGGAAAUCACGAGGAAAGAGGAGAAAGCUUCAAGCGUUUGUCUUUGGAGACUUCACAAAUAUCAGGGCCCAAGGUGGUCUAGACCCUAGGAGCUGGAUAACGCAGCAGAAGAUGAAAUUCUUUCAGAGGCGGCUCGUGAACAGCUUCCCAUUCAUGCACGGGAAACUCCUGCAUAAAAAUGCUACCAGGUAGCACAGGUAGGAAGCGCCACACAAAGAGGAGUGGUGGUUUCCGAGUACUGGGGGGGGGGGGGGUGUCAUAUUUACCUUCGUGUUUUUCUAUCUUAUGAGUUCUCCCCAUUUACACACUCAGCCUCUUGAGAUUCACUUAAGGAACAAGAAAAAGAGAAAGCUAAAAUAAGCCCUACAGGGGACUUGGCACCAUAGCUAGAAACCACCAAGCAACCAAGAAGACACACGCGAGGAAGUUUCUAAGCAGGCUGGAAAUCAAAGCAACUCCGAUUCGGAAUAUCUUUGAGUGUCUGUCCUCUGUCCUUCAGAUCGGCAGAGAGAUUCCAGAGAAGCAGCAGCGGGGGCCACAAGGCCGCGCUCCACAGCCCUGCCAGCCUCCGGGGAGGAGGAAGUCGGCGGAGCGCUGGGUUUUUGCAAGCACAAAGGGCGGGGGAAGAGCGGAGCGGCGCGGGCCUGUGGAGCGAUGCUGCCAUCAAGCGGCCAGAGUUUCCCUGAGCGACGAACAGCGGCCGGGAGGACGCUGUCUUGGCGGCCCGGUCUCUGCUCUUAGACCCGGAGGAGUCCACUAGGGGACCGGAGCGAGAUGAACGCGAAGGGGAAAGCCCCAGCGGCGCGAGCCGGAAGCCCGCCGAGCGGCCGGCGGGGCUGGCCCGGAAGCCGACUGACCCUCGCGAGGCGGGAGCGCGCCUCCAGAAGGCCCGGCCCCGAAGCCGGAGCAACGGCAGGCAGCCGGAGGCUCCGGCUGUUGGAGCGCGGCCGUCCCGGGGCGGGAGCGCCAGGGCCGACGGGAAGUGUGGCCUUGGGCGUCAGGGUUGUAGGGAAUUCGGACGGUCCUUUCGGGCCCGUGGCCGGAGUUUAACUUGUGGACGGCUUCUCCUGUUCUCCGUGCUAGCGGACACUGCCGGGACGGCUGAGAGCGAGGAGGAAGCCGUUCAGGCCCCGGACCCAUCCUAAAUGGCGUCCAGACGAGUAAGGCGAAGAUGGACCGGCUGGGGCCUGUCCGGACAUGCGCGUUCGUGCUGUCCGGAAAUCCCCUGCCCGCUGGGUCUUGCGUGCCUUCAAGCUAUUUGGCGGGAAGUUUCUGAGGUUCCUGUCCUUUGGGGAUCUGGGCCUGGGUGCUUGAGUGGGAGAAGGAGGAAGCCCGGUAGCCUCGGAACCCCUUUGAAGGGCGUCCUGCAUCCAGCCAUCCAUACAUCCGUCCGUUCAUAAAGCAGUCCGUCGCUGAGCACCCAUUAGGUAGCAGAUGAUGUGGAUCAAGGCUGCCCCAGGUGGAGAAGCCCAAGGUGACCUGUCCUACAUGCCGAUCUCUAUGACCUGAUGGAUUUUACGGUGUGGAGUAAGGCUGCCCCGGGGAGAGAAGCCCAGGGCAUCCUGGCCUACAUGCCGAUCUCUAUGGCCAGAUUCAUAUCUAAAGUUACAGGAGCACACAAUAACCAGAGCCCAUCCGCACUGAAACCAUUUAAUGACAUUUUACAUCACCUUUUCUUUUUCCAGUGCGAAUAAGUCGCGUCCCCAUGCCUUAUAAAUUUAGCCCUAACCCUCAACACAUUGCAGCUGAAGCUCUGACUGCCCAUGGGUCCUGUCCCCACGCAGCAGCAGAAGCAGCAGCAGCUCUUUACUGCCCAUGGGUCCCAUGCCCAUGGGACACUAUUCCACACUAUUCUCUAGACAAAAGAGCGCUACUGCCAGCCCUUGAGAGUCCAAGAAAUCUUUCUUUCGACCCUUCAGCUCGCUGUCCCCGCAUCACCAGACAGGGUUUCAGACCCUGGGGACCCAGGACACUUGGGCACACAAGGGCCCUGUGCUCAGGGACCCUUCCUUCUAGUGGGUGGGGACAGAAAAUGGACAAAUACACUACCGAGGUAAUUUCAGAUCGUGAUCACCGACAGUAAGAACAUAAAACGGGCUGAUAGGGCAGAAAGAAAGGCGGCGGAUGUGUGCCCGUUUUCACUGGGUCGUCAGAUCGGGCUCCUUCGAGGAAAGGACGAGUGAGGACAUUCGGAGUGGUCCUGUAAGGCUUGGAGGACGUUGAUGAGGGUAAAAGCCUCUUCCCGGUUUCACGGGGUUCCCUGCCUUGUGAAUCCAGAGGCUUAGGUGAACACAAAAUACAGAUAGGUUUGCUGCCUCAUUCCCUGCAGGAGCUCUGACACUCUCAAGACUAGCAUGGGAAAAGGAAAUGGCGACAGAGGGGCCUAGUGGAUCAGGACCAGGAAGUGCUGGCGCUAGAGCUUGGACCACGACGACCAAAGCUGGUAGCUUAGGGCCUUGAGCGCUUAGGUUCAAGGCCUAUUCCCACUGAGGCCCAAAGAGUCCAGAGGGUGGGGAAGCCUGGCUGCCUUCUUCUCUGUGGCCUGCCUGCGUGGCCUUCUGGUCUCCUUUCUCCAUGGGUCGUAGGAUUUUCUCCUUCCCGAGGAGGUCACGACGGGGCUUGGCUUGGCCGUGAUGGAGGACGCUGUCACAGACCUGCCGUGCUCUCAGUGGAACGCCAGUGGGGUUUUAACUCCAGAGAAGAGUUUGGACUGGGCCCACGGUACAGUAGGUCCUCCGUAGUUCUGGAGGCCUCGUCCACUUGACACAAGUGACCAGGACUGUGAUAUUUUGAGGAAUCCUGCGCUUCAGCAGGAAGGUGAAGCCAUGUUGACAACGGCAUCAGAAAUGGAAUGAAUGGAGGCCAUCUUCUGUGGUGGACAGCAAUAGGAUCUCCUCAGUUGUCCCGGGUCUGGAGGAAGGAGGGCAGCGGAAACGCUACAGACCCAUCCCUAGCCGCGGUUCUCCUUUGGCAGGUGUGAGGGGCACGGGGCAGGGAAAUUAGAAAAACAGGCCUUCAGAAAUGAGAUCCAGAGUUUGUCCAAACUGAUAUCCUGAGGGCCUCGACCUGAGGAAAUCAGAUCUGAGGCCAAAGAACCGGAACCAGACAAAGCAAAGUGACCGGCCUGAGGAGCAGCCGCACCAAACCGGCCCGCUGAUAAUCAAUCUGGCAGCCAGAAUAAUGCCACCGAAACCUACAAUCGGAUCACGUGAUGCCUCUGCUCCAAACCAACAGCGUUCGUUGCUCUUCAGGGUAAACUAGGAGUCCUUGUGAUCGCCGACAAGGCCAUCUGUGACGUGGCCACUAGUUCCCUCUCUUCCCUGAUCUCCUAGGACCCUCCUCCUUUCUCACUCCCCUUUGCCUACGGUGACCUCCUUCCUGCUCCCAAAGUGAGGGCUUUGGCACCUUCUGUUCUUUCAGCCUGGAGCAUUCUUUCCCCAGAUGUCUGCAUGGCUACCUCCGUCAUCUCUUUCAUGACUUCGAAUAAAUGUCACCUUUCAAUAUGGCUCGCUCCUACACUUAUUAUUUCAAGUGUCACCACCUCACCCCCUUCACUCACUCACACACACACACACACACACACACACACACUUCCCAUUUACCCGGUCUUCUUCUGUUCUGUCUUGAAUGCACGUUGUUCUGUCAACACGUUAUGUAAUUUAUUUCCUUAUUAUAAUUGUUUGCUUGUCUCUGCCCACUAGAAGGCAAGCUCCUCAAAGCCAGGGUUUUUGUUGUUGUCUAGUAUGUGUGCUCGGUUGUUCCCUAAUUUAUCCCAAAGGUGACUGGCACGUAGUAGGUGCUCACUGAAUGUUUGUUGAAUGAAUAAAGAUCUGUUACCAACAUCCUCCCUCUUUUCUCUGGUUUUUCUUUGGAUUCGUUGAAGAAUGAGAGGGAGACGUCCAUGUCCCCCACACAAUUAUAUUUCUCUCAAUUUCCCCUUAGGGUUGUACCGUCAUCGAAGAAAUCCCUAGACAAAGUAAAACGUUUCCAACACCUGUAACACACAGAGGCUGUUAAGCCUAAGGGACAAGAACAGACAGUUAAUAGCACACCACAC